rnacentral:sRNA from 1 species
AAAGUAUGGACUGUAUACGAAGGAGGACAAGAUAAUCUCGGAGCCACUUUCUUUGAGCCGUCUUCAGU